AUAAGCUUCUUUACCUGUCACCUAAGUACGUUGUGAAAAUGAACCGGAGACCGAAAGAUUUGAACCAACUAGACCUACAACCAGGUGAUAUAUUAUCAGUCCCGUGUCGUGGUUAUCUAGCGUGGCAUUUUGGAGUAUGCUUCGAGCCUGGUAAAAUCAUGCAUUUGCUUAAUGGCCCAGAUCCCGUAAGGCGCAUAGACUUGCAGGGUUUUUACGGAAAUGCUGAAGAACAUAAUAUUGAAUGCCCCAAGGACAACGAUCGCCGACAAGUCAUCGAACGAGCAAAAUUAGAAGAGAAUAAGCUAUUUAAUGGUAAAGUAUACAAUCUGGUAUGGAACAACUGUGAGCAUUUUGCUAGGUAUUGUCUUACAGGUAAGGCAGAAAGUAAACAAGUGCAAAAAUGUAGCUUACCUACGAAGAUGGCGCUUAUUAUCUUACCUUUGGCUUUCUUAAGUUCUUCUAGUUCAGGUUCAAGUGAGUUAGCAUCAUCAUCCCCAUCAGCAUCGUCAUCAGCAUUAGCAUCGUCUUCAGCAUCAGCAUCGGCUUCAGCAUCAGCAUCGGCUUCAGUAUCAUCAUCAGCAUCAGAAUUAUUAAAUUUUUUAUUUUCAUCAUCAUUAUUAUUAUUAUUUUUUUAUUUUUUUUAUUAUUUUUUAAAUUUCCUUCAUCAAGUACACUUGUCAUUUACAGGAGAGAAUGAUGCUUUAUAAAAAACAAGUCUCUUUAUGAAGCUUAGGGAGUGGAAUUAUUUUUGGUCGUGAGAAAAAGUCCAGAUGUGACUGGAAUUAAACCCAGGACCUUGGGAUCAGAAGAGAAGCAUCUUAACCACUGGGCUAUUCAACUCCACUCCACUCAAAUUAUUAUUAUUGGCUUUCCUAGCAGUAGCAGAAAAAGCCAAUUUUUUUUUCUACCUUUUGUAUAUGGUUUUCUGCCCGGCACUUUGGUCACUUUCCAUCCCUGGAUCUUUUCCAAACUUUGUCAAACAUAGAUCAUAUACCAAAGAUGUACCACGUAACAUUUUGUGACAAACCGUGAGUGGGGUGUGGAUGUGAGGACCAAUUAAAGCGAUUUAAAGGGAAAUACUUCACACUAGAUGUUUUUGAAAACGGAUCACCUAAUCUGAAUGAAACUUUCGGGAAAGUUUAACAAAGUUAAAUGUGAGGGUCAUUUUAAUUUCUGACGUCCCAGAUCUAAAUAUCUCAAAAAUCGUAUUAAUGGAUCUAAAUUAAACUUUCUAUAAUAGCUUGUCAUAGUCCAAUAAAAAAAAAAAAACUACAUUUUGGUGACCAUCUGAAGUAGUGUGUAGAUAUGAGUACCAUUCAAAAAUAAACGUACCAGGCCAGAUAUUUAAAAAAAAAACCGGAUAAAAUGAUCUGAAUGAAACUGGACGUUUGUGACGAUCCAGUAUUGAAGUCAUUUAAAGUUCUAACGUCCCAGACCUAAUAUCUGCAAAAACCUGUCAAUAGAUCUAAAUGAAACUUUCUGUAAUAGUUUGUCAUGGUCCAUUUGAAUUGAUUACACUUGUGUGACGAUCCGAAGUAAGGUGUGGAUAUGAGAAACAGAUAAACUGAUCUGAAAGAAACAGUGUAAACCACAUUGGUAAUUAUAGGAACACAUGACACCAUGUAGAAUCCAAGAGUUUCUGGAAUCUUGGGUACUUUAGAGGCAAAUAAGCCUAAUUGGUUAAUUAUGAUGUAAGGUAACCAAUGGGGAACUUAGGCAAUAUGUUGUACUGAACUGAAUACAAAUAAUUGUUUUACAGUAGAUAGUUACAGAAAAAUCCUUAGACAAAAUCUUUGGGGAAACAAAUUGAUUUGUCACAAUAACAAAUAAUUAUGGUUCAGGGCAUGGAUAGAUUCGAAUUUUAAACGAAUCAAGAAUAUUGUUAUAAAAAAUCGAAUAAUGACGUCCAAUGAAAUUUUAAAUAAGUUAGUUGAUAAAAGAAACUGGCUUAGUUGAAUACGCCUCGUUAAUACAAGCUAUUCCAAAAGAGUGGUUGUACGUCAUAAGACAUUACAAUGGUAUUGGCAAUGACGAUUUCGUGAUGACUGAUGAAUAUGAUAGUAUAGGUAAAAUGAAAACAAAAGACAUUUAUUCAUGUUUUGUUGAUAAAAUGUUUAUCCCACCCUAUGUUGAAUGUAAAUGGGAUCUAUUUAUUGGAGAAAAAAUAAACUGAUCUAAGGUCUGGAUGAGAAAAAUAAAGGAAGAAAAAAAUAGAAAAUAUGCACAACUAAAUUAUAAAUUGUUAAACAAAAUCUCGCCAACAAAUAGGCAAUUGUAUAAAUGGAAGUUAAAACACACUGACAUGUGAUACGUGUGGAGCAGUCGAAGAUGAAAAGCACAUGUUUUUUGAAUGUCUACAAAACAGGAUAUUAUGGGAAAAUAUAGACAAUCUAUUUAAGAAAUUUGACAAUAGUCAAUUUUCUUUUAAAGAAUUAUUAAUAGGCUGUGAUAGCAAAAUUAAAAAUGAAAUAUAUUCCAUUGCAGUAUUUGCUAUAUACAAAAUUAAAACUCUAACAGAGCUAGGUAAGCCAGUUUGUAAAAAUGCAUGGAUUAUAUUUAAGAAUUUUGUAAAAGAAAAUAAUUAUGAAGGGAACGUUAUACUUGAAUGAGUUUUAUUUUGUUAUCUAGUAUAAUUAUCAUUGUACUAAUUUUGAAUACUUGGGAUUAAAUUGUAAUAUAUUUGAAAGUAUAUUAAAUUAAUUAAGAGUUACAUUAUUAUAAAUAUUUAAAAAAAAAUAUGAAAAGAAACAAUGCAAUAAGGUUUGGUAACCACACAAGAAAAAAAAAAUAUAUAUAUAUAUAUAUACAUAUUUAAAAGUAUAUAUACAGCAAUGUAGUAUAGUUUACUUUGAACACUUUAGAUUGUAAGCUGAAUAUACUUACUUAUGCUAAGGUCAUAGUGUAUGCAUGACUUAGUUGUGUAAUUGGUAUCAAUAUUACCGCAGUCCGAGCUUAGUGAAUAAAAAUGUUUAAUAUUGAUGGUAACAAUUUGAAAAUCAGGAAAAAAAAAUGGUGAAAUAAAGGCGGAAAGACCCCACAAAAGAGAAAAAAAACUUAGGCAAUAUGGAAUGCUCUGGAGUUGUACAGCUAGGUUAUAUAAGCUGAUGUAGUUUUAUCUUUCUGGAGCUCUUUUUGAAACACAUGAUUAUGUGAAUGUUGUUGUGUUAUUUUCAUACCGGAUUCUUGUUGGAGUUUAUACAGAAUAAAAGUUUAUUUCAGAGUUGUGUUACAA
rnacentral:lncRNA from 1 species